GUAGCUGCUUCCUCGGCAGCAGCUAAGGGGGAUCCAUAAUAAAUACAAAAAUACAAAUACAUAGUGAUCUUUUCAUGUAGAGUAAAGAUCCCCUUUUGAUUACAAAGGGGAAAAAAACAAUAAUCUCUGGCUCCCACAGACAUACAAUGUGGGAAUGUUAUUCAUCCCUACUAGACCUUUCAGUGCCAUUCAAAACUUCUGUUGGUCAGCAGUAAUUGUGCCCACUGUCCCUGUACCAGUAGUCAUUCUCACCCUAUUUACGCUUAGCACUGCCCACUCCUCACCUACGGGUUGCCUUGGCCAGAAGCAUCUUCAAGGUGUUAUUAUUCUUUGAAUAGACUACCUCCUGUCUUGGGCUUGACCUCUGAAGCUGACCUGAGAUUCCUCUGUACUGAAGAUGACUUUAAAGAGACGACUGCUGUCCAUUUUGUUGUGUUGUGUCUACUGUGUCGCUUCGCUCUUCUGCUUGAACCCCAACCGCAACAACUGUGGCUCCAUCAGCGCUCGGAAUCUCAUGACAGUUGCCCAGCAGCUGUACCAACGAGUCAUGAGGCUAAUGCGCACCACUCUCUGAUCCUAUGGAACCGGAGUUGAGUCCCUCAACACUAAUCAUCACCAGGACUGAGACACUCUCCUGCCUUACCCUGUCCAUACAAUGGAGAUGACCUGCAGAGCACCUGCCAUCGACAGAGCAAGAGGACGAAAAGCUCUCAUUGCAGUUCACCGUAAUAAAGCAGGAGAUAGUUUUAAAAAAUGUCAAUGUUUUAUUGAUGCAAAUAGAUUUUGUUGAGAUCCUAGUGGGCCUUCACUGCAUAAGCGUUGUGUUAGUGCCCCGAUUUCCCUGCAUUAUAAUGUAAGUGCUGGAAAAGCCGUUUGCAGGAUAAUUCAAAGAUAUCAUUCAUUUCAUGCCCUCUUGUGGAAAACUGAUCAGUUAUUUCUGCAUGAUAAAAAAAAUGUAUGCUUUCAGUGAGCUUCAAUGCUAUCCCUGGACAUGGAAAAUAUUCCCAG